rnacentral:rRNA from 1 species
AUUGAACGCUGGCGGCAGGCCUAACACAUGCCAGUCGAACGGUAACAGGAAAUAGCUUGCUGUUUCGCUGACGAGUGGCGGACGGGUGAGUCAUGUCUGGGAAACUGCCCGAUGGAGGGGGAUAACUACUGGAAACGGUAGCUAAUACCGCAUAACGUCGCAAGACCAAAGAGGGGGACCUUCGGGCCUCUUGUCAUCGGAUGUGCCCAGAUGGGAUUAGCUAGUAGGUGGGGUAACGGCUCACCUAGGCGACGAUCACUAGCUGGUCUGAGAGGAUGACCAGCCACACUGGAACUGAGACACGGUCCAGACACCUACGUGAGGCAGCAGUGGGGAAUAUUGCGCAAGGGGCGCAAGCCUAAUGCAGCCAUGCCGCGUGUAUGAAGAAGGCCUUCGGGUUGUAAAGUACUUUCAGCGUGGAGGAAGGGAGUAAAUUUAAUACCUUUACUCAUUGACGGUACCCGCAGAAUAAGCACCGGCUAACUCCGUG